UGCCUCGGCGGGGUCACGCCCCGGGUGCGUAAAAGCCCCGGAACCAGGCGCCCGCCGGAGGAACCAACCAAACUCUUUCUGUAGUCCCCUCGCGGACGUAUUUCUUACAGCUCUGAGCAAAAAUUCAAAAUGAAUCAAAACUUUCAACAACGGAUCUCUUGGUUCUGGCAUCGAUGAAGAACGCAGCGAAAUGCGAUAAGUAAUGUGAAUUGCAGAAUUCAGUGAAUCAUCGAAUCUUUGAACGCACAUUGCGCCCGCCAGUAUUCUGGCGGGCAUGCCUGUCCGAGCGUCAUUUCAACCCUCGAACCCCUCCGGGGGAUCGGCGUUGGGGAUCGGGACCCCUCACCGGGUGCCGGCCCUGAAAUACAGUGGCGGUCUCGCCGCAGCCUCUCCUGCGCAGUAGUUUGCACAACUCGCACCGGGAGCGCGGCGCGUCCACGUCCGUAAAACACCCAACUUCUGAAAUGUUGACCUCGGAUCAGGUAGGAAUACCCGCUGAACUUAAGCAUAUCAAUAAGCGGAGGGAAAGAAACCAAC
rnacentral:rRNA from 1 species